CGGCUCUCACCACCACAUCUGCUUGGCCUCUCGAGAGCAUCACGAGCCAAAGGCAAGGCCACGGAGGUUCUCGGAGGGAAAAACGGAGUACUUUCAGGAAGGUGUGCAUUCCGAACAGGACAGACAGGACGAGGGACGUGAGGGGCUCGGGACCCAUGUCAGUGCCAGCAGAACAAGGCUACAUGCAUUUGCCAAAGACAAAAUGAACGGCCCCUCUCUAGUAGGUUGCAGGGGUAGAACCUUCCAGCUGGGACUUUUGCGGUUUCCAGGAACUUAACACUGGAGGCCGGGGCAUGUUUCAGACUGAAGGAUGAUCUCCAGAAACAAAACACUUAAACCAGCAGCAUGCAGCAAAGGGACUUCUGGGCUGAGCUGCUGAGGGUUGUCAGGGAGAAGAGCUGUCUAAGAAGCUAAAAGGAACCAGCGAACAAGGCUUUGGGCUAAGUCACUGAUUGAGAAGGAGGACGUGCUUCCAAAUCUGCCUUGAAUUAAUUAGCACCAUUUCCUAACCCGGGUAGGAGCCAACUGUAUCCAUUCCUGAGGCUGCAGAGACAGGAGCCCGUCUGCCACGGACAGCACACUUAUACACCAUAGCAGGUCUCGGAAAUGGAACAACUAUGACAAGUCAUUUACUGGAUAGCUGUGUCCCAUGAGGGCCUCAGGAGGCCAGGCAUGCUGGCAGCUCUGGCCUGGCACGCACAGGGCUAUGCCAAGGGGAGACAAGCAUGGCAGGGGUGGAAGGCUUAGUGGGGCUGCUCAGAGACACCUCAAGGCCUAGAAAGACAGGGUCUGCAGAGAGGAAGGAAGACAUCACCUCUGACUCGGUUAACAUUUCAGGAGUGGGUGCAAUUCUAAGCCCUCAGGAACAGGGGCCAGAGGAUCACUGAGAAGCGGGGUGGCAACCAGGCUGGCAUUUGGAAUCCCCAGGCUCCUUGUAAGGCCUGGGAGCACCU